GCCACCUUAGCUCAGCUGGUAGAGCAGCGCAUUCGUAAUGCGCGGGUCGGGAGUUCAAGUCUCCCAGGUGGCU
rnacentral:tRNA from 1 species